GGUCGCACCGAGCCAGGCCAGCGCCAGCAAAAGCCGCCACAUCCUCCGCCACAAGCCCAGUCCCGGCGGCCGCCGCUGCGUCUCCCCGGACAACGACCGCUUCCGCCGGAUCCCCGGGACACUUCCAGUUCCGCUGCCGUCCCUUCCAACCAAAACCCUCCCGUGAUUCUGUGACCCCCGCCUUGCAGGGCUGAGCCCGCACGGGGAGCGGAGCUGCUGCCUGGGCCGGCUGUCGGGCUGCUGAUGCUGCUGGAGGCAUUUCACCGUUGAUUGAAAUUAGCUCAGCUCGGAAAUUCUUGCAAAGAGACCAGUACCAUCCCACGGCUUCGGCAGGCUGCUGUGACUGAGCAGUGAGUGCCUGGAACUCAUCCCAAAGCCCGCUCUGGUACAAGCGUGUCGCAGCCCUAGCACUUCCCUACAGCCGCGGCUGCCUGGUGAAGGAUUUGCCCACUCCCACCCUCGCUAGGGAAGCACGGUCCCGUUCGGGAGUUGCUUGCACACAAACUGUGCCUUAACCUACAGUAGGCUGGGGUACGGGUAAAAGGCGGCAAACUAAAGGCGUGUUUUUAAAACUAAAAAAGAAGAGUUCUUGUCCUGCAGCUUAUCAAGCAAAGCUCCCAAGCAGAAAGGCAUAUUCCUUUUCAGGAAAUUGUAUUUUUCCUGUUGCAGAGUUAGUAUUUACUUUAUUUCAGUUUAAUAGUGAAGACUCAAGACUAUUUGUGACAUUUUGAAAAUGAGCACAUUACUUCAAGUGCUGCUAUCUUUUUUAACACACUUACUUAAAACUGCCAGCAGUGCACAAUGAGAUUUUGCCAAAACUCAGCAUCUGUCAAAAACUGAUAGUCAUGAGGAGAGGAUGAACCAUGCACACAGGGAAAGGGCAGGAAAAACCAUGUACAUGUGUAUAAAUGAAGAUGGGGGUCAUUUAUUACAGAAACAGGAUUUUUAGCUUUGUUUUUACUCCAACUGUGUACUUCUGCAACUGUGUCAUUCCUUACAGCACUCAUUUUCUUGCUUGAAGCUUUUCCUUUCAAAGUCCAAUUUGCAUAAGCACUAAUAAUGAAGACAUAAUAGUCUAAAAAUAGAAAACAUGAGUUUUGCACAUAGAGGGAAAACAUUUAAUUAGAUCAGCUGAUACAGGAGCAAGCUUGAAAGCAAAAGCACAAAGGGAAUCCAAACUGGUGCAGACCAGCAAAGAACAACUUGCCCCAUUCCCCCUUCUCCUUAUGUUUUAGUCAAAACAGCAUUUUCCACUUGAAAACAAUUUCUUACUGUGAAAUUAAUCCUAACAUAAUCUCCUUCCUGCUAUAGCACAAAUAUUCCUGGAAUACUGGGAUAAAUAUGUCUUAUUCAUCACAGAAUAAUGAAUUAUGACAAUUCCAUGAAAAUUUUGUUUAUGAGUACUUUCAAUUUGAUUUCCAUGUGCAACAGAGGGAAAAGCUGGCAGUUAAUUAUCUAUACAGGGUUAUAGUUCCUUUCCCCCCCUUUUCUCCUAUUUGAGUUAAAGGACAAGAACAAUUAAGUUAGUGUCACCUUGUUUUCAAUUCACUAAAAAAUAAGCAAUAUUCCUCUUAUCUCCUGACACCUUGCAACUCACAGUGUUUUAACCUUAAUGCAAAUAUAUGUAACAUGCCUGUAACAAGUAGGUAAUGCUGUCAACUGGCAUCUUCAGCCAGAAUUUAAAAGGUAUUAAAAAAGAAAAACAGGGGAAAAUAGUUAGGCUUUAAAGUAUUAACUUUAUUAAUAAAUAUACAUCCAUAUGAUUAUGUAAAUACAGAUCAUGAACACUACUCCAUUCCCAUACACAUAAUUGCACACGAGUAGCUCAAGUUCAUGGACAUAAAAACAUACACAGUAUCUAAUCAGGCUUUUUACAGCAGAGGACAGGGUGCUGAUACGAGUUAUUUAACAGAUUACUGUUACCCCCAAAGUAAACCUGUAGUAAAGCAAAUGAUGCAAGAUUGAAGGAACAGAAAGUGGUUCAAAUUUCAGAGUACAGAUUCUUCUAUUUUGAAAAAAAGUCACAAGGAGAAAGGUCUAGUGUCUACUAAAGUCAUUAAUAUAUUUAGCGGUGUUAAAAUAUAUGCUUUAAAAUAGAGAAGAAUAAACUUUUUGUAAUCAGAAAUGAAGUGUGCAGUUCCAAGUAUUUAUGAUUGUUAUCAGCUGUUUUAACUGUCAACUCUAAGGGGAGCAUGAAACAUUGUUAUACAUAUAACAAAGACCAGCAGAGCUACAGCUAAUGAAACCAUUGCACAAAUGACUUCACAUUGCUCUGCCUUUUAAAGCUCUUCAAAAUGGGGAAGGGAGUUAAAUUCUCAUCUGAAUUACUCAGUGUAUUGUAGUUCCUGGUAAUUCUCUUCACAGAUACAUCACUUUUCACUGACAAGGCUUGGUUUUGUCCUGACUGAACAUUAAGAUCCUUCAGACAAAAUGAAAAUAUAUUCAUUCAGAAGAGAGAUCUUUAAUGGCUCUAGUUAAUUUGAUUACUUUAAACUAAAUCCAAGAUGUAAAGAACAUUGCUUUUAUGACAAAGCUAAGUGCUGGUUUUAAAAAUACCAUCUUUGAUACCAAAGUCAGCUGCUUCUGAUGGUAUCUGAUUUUUUUCUGCCAAAAUAUGGUGCUAGCAUCUUGAAUCUGUCCAGUGCAAGACUUUAUAGUAGCAAAAUUAUUUGGUUUUAAAGUUUAAGUAAAUUUAAUCAAGAAACUGAAUAGUAGUUACUAUAUGUAUCUUAAACAGUGAACUUUAUAGCAUCAUUAAGGAAUAAUAGCAAGCUAAUACAUUUCAUUUAUGUAUAAAUAAGACAUUAGAAACUUGAUAAUUAAAAGAAAUUAUUAAAACCUAAACUUGACAUGUCAGUCUUCUUAACAGUGUUAACACAGAACAGUGAUCCUAGCUUAUGAAUAGCUGAAUUAUGAUAUAUAAUAUAAAAUAAGCAAUUUACCUUACAAGUAAUGUUUUCAUACUAUGGGGGGAAAAUGCCAGUUUUCCCAUUGGCAGUAAUAAAGUUUAGGCAUUAACAUGCUGUUUCAGUGUUUCUCAUGGAAAAAAAAGUGUUGAAAAAAGCACAAUGUAUUCUGCAGAGUAUACAUAGGAAGAACAGAAGUAUUUGAAAAUUCCAUUUCUAGUCACUUUGAAUCUCCUCUUUAUUUUUCCCUUCACUGCAUGGCACCAGUAAACUCUAGUCAGAUAUAAAAUAAAGCAGAAUUAGGAAACACCAGCAGUGCACUUCUGAUCUCCUUCCUAAAUCCAGAGUGCCAAGCAGCACACUGCGGGCUCUCUGAACACUUUUCUAUUUGAUGCUCAUCAUUUCACAACUGACAACAUUAAUUAGUUUUUACUGGGAUUAUAUUUCAUCUGAUAUAAUUAAUCAACACUGUAAGGAACAGAAAUUGCUUAGGUGAUUUCAUUAUUUCAUCAGCAUACUUGAAUACAAAUUAUACUAGCAGAACAGCAAUACAUCUGCAUUAUCGCAUUAUCUCCUGACACACAGCACAGCACCAUUGAGUGGAUGCACAAGUGAGGAACGGACAGGAGGAAACAGGAUCAACAGGAGGAGGUAAGGAGCGGAGUUUCUCCAAGGUACAGUGGUGACAUGCAACACGUUCCUUGCCAGCGAGGUGUGACACUCCUGCAGUUACACAUUCAGCUGAAGAGGACUGCUUGCCCAGCUGAGUUCAGGAAAGAACUUAAAGCAGUCUUUUGUUGAAAAAUUAUCUGAUUAAAAACAGCCAAUACAACACAGAUCCUGAGGGUGAAUGAACUCACGUUAGCAUUUUGCAUGUGUCAGAAGUUACAGCUUCUGAGAGAGACUGCUAAAUUUCAGACUUGCGAGUUUGCUGAGGAACAGAAUGUACAACUGGAUUUCAGAGCUUCAGCAUGAAGAAACUAUUCCUUAGUAGCAAUUUAGCUGCCAUUAGUUCAUCUAUUGACUAAGGAGCCAUCCAGUAUAAGUUGAGGUUCAUUGUCUUAGUUGCCAGUCCAUACACAGUUCCCCCAAAACAAUUCAACACACCUAUUGUAAAGUACAGCAAAAGUCCAGCUCAAUAUGUGUUAGGCAUCACUGGAACACCUGAAGGCUUGCUGCUUUUUUCCUGAUAAAAAAGGUAUGAAACAUGACAUCUGUUUCUUAAGUUGUCAUCACUGAAAGCAAGAGGUCUAGUCAAAAUGACAGCAGCCCAGAAUAGCAUUUAUGUUAACAAAAAUGACCAUCAUUACCCAUUAAGCACAGGUUCAACCCAAAUUUUAUUCUCCCCCAAAUCUGCAAACUCUACGUAUUCCCCCUCCCCAGGUAUUCCAAGCUAUGAAUUUAUCAUAAAGUCAUUUUAUAUGUGAAAUGACUUUAACAUAAACUUUCUUCCAGAUUAAAAAAAAAAAAUUAAUUUCAAACAAACAAUAUGUAACACUGAGGACUGAUUAUUUUUUCUUUUGAAGUCUGGAUGAAAAUAUUUUACACACUCACAUUCACACAUUCUCCCACACUUAAAAAAAAAUUACACACACCCAGCUGAAAAAUUGAACAUUUCUUUUGGGAGGAGGGGAGGUUUUAGUUUGAGUCAAGAAAGGUGUUAACCAACAUUUUUUCUGAUUUGCAUGCAUAGAUUAAUUACUCUAUAUCUGGGAUCAAGCAGUGCAGUAAACUGCAUCCUGUUUGCAUCAGCUAUACAGUUUGCUUUUAAAAAUCAUGAAAAUGGUGUCCUUUGGUAGAUAUAUAAGCUUCCAUAACUUAAAUAUAGUAUAAAUGUCUAACAAUGAAAUAACUAUUUCCAGGAAUAUCUGGCAAAACUGAGUCUAAAAAUUUGGCAACAGUGUCUAUUUAAAAAGUUUAAUUUGUAAACAUUAUUGGUUAUUACUUUAAAAGCUAUUAAACUGUCGCAAUCUAAGCACAGAUUUGAAAGGCAAAAGCCAGCGUAAAUAGCUAUUUACAGAUUUAAGAACAUACUGUUUAAUAUUAAUCAAGUGCCUAACUAGAAUGAACAGUACUUAAUUUCUUAUAAAAUAUUUCAAAUUGCAAAGAAUUAUUUGUGGUUUGGUAUAUGUAUUACUAGGCAUUUCAAAAUUACCCAGCAGAAUCCUGUAACAGUGUACCUAAAAGAACAACUCGCACCUAAUGGCAAAGUAACUUGUCUUUGUAAGGCGCUGUGCAGCUGUAACGCACUGUACACAUUCUCACGUUUCUUUAAUAUCUUCCGAAAUGUUUUUGGAGCAUGAGUUGAAAUUCACUUAAUGCUACAACUCCAGAAAUAAAAGUCACUGGAAAUCACUUUAGGAAAAAA